rnacentral:rRNA from 2 species
UGCAAGUCGAACGAUGAACCGCUUUCGGGCGGGGAUUAGUGGCGAACGGGUGAGUAACACGUGGGCAAUCUGCCCUGCACUCUGGGACAAGCCCUGGAAACGGGGUCUAAUACCGGAUAUGACCGUCUGCCGCAUGGUGGAUGGUGUAAAGCUCCGGCGGUGCAGGAUGAGCCCGCGGCCUAUCAGCUUGUUGGUGAGGUAGUGGCUCACCAAGGCGACGACGGGUAGCCGGCCUGAGAGGGCGACCGGCCACACUGGGACUGAGACACGGCCCAGACUCCUACGGGAGGCAGCAGUGGGGAAUAUUGCACAAUGGGCGAAAGCCUGAUGCAGCGACGCCGCGUGAGGGAUGACGGCCUUCGGGUUGUAAACCUCUUUCAGCAGGGAAGAAGCGAAAGUGACGGUACCUGCAGAAGAAGCGCCGGCUAACUACGUGCCAGCAGCCGCGGUAAUACGUAGGGCGCAAGCGUUGUCCGGAAUUAUUGGGCGUAAAGAGCUCGUAGGCGGCUUGUCACGUCGGUUGUGAAAGCCCGGGGCUUAACCCCGGGUCUGCAGUCGAUACGGGCAGGCUAGAGUUCGGUAGGGGAGAUCGGAAUUCCUGGUGUAGCGGUGAAAUGCGCAGAUAUCAGGAGGAACACCGGUGGCGAAGGCGGAUCUCUGGGCCGAUACUGACGCUGAGGAGCGAAAGCGUGGGGAGCGAACAGGAUUAGAUACCCUGGUAGUCCACGCCGUAAACGGUGGGCACUAGGUGUGGGCAACAUUCCACGUUGUCCGUGCCGCAGCUAACGCAUUAAGUG